UGGUGUGGCAUAAUUACCUUGCGUUUCUCACCUCAUUACAUCUGACAUGGCUGUGUUCAUUUACAGGCUUAUAGACUGACUGGUCUUGCUGCCGUGGUUUUAUGAAAUUGCCGUCAAGAUGUGAGGUGUUUGCUGGUUUCAUGGAAGCUUUGCCUGGUUUCAGGGUGGAAAGGAACUAGGGUCCAUAUUUAGUAACAACCUGGAACACCUGAGCAAUGAAAAGGCAUGCAGUCUUGAUCUGAAGACUUCAGGAGAUGGAGAAACCACUGUGUACUGGUAUGACAGGCUCUGUGUGAUGUCUCUGCUAUACUGCAAACACAGGGAGCAUGAGGCUGAGAAUAUGUGACUCAAACCCAAUUCUCCAUCCCAUGUGGCUGCAUAGAGCACUACCACCAGGCAUAGCAUGAAUGCCUUUUUCAUCAGGAAAAUGUAACCACCUCUUUACUGGUGCUCAACUCCAGCAUCUCUACAAUGGCAGCACAGGUUUGUACUGAUGGCUUGCAGUAGAAUGCUCUGAUAUAUCUAU